ACAUAGUGUUUGUAGUUCCACUACAGGAGAAGCUAUCUACUGAACCUCUUUCCAGUGAUUCAGUAGAGUUUGCCAAAAUGCCACAGCCUAAAUGCAUCACAUGUGGCACUCAAAUGCCUUUGCAGCUGUUACCAUUGCAUGUUGAGGGAUGCAAUGGCACAUUGACUGAGAGUGCAGCUGGGACACCUAUCGAAGAUUGUUCAGUUCUUGAGCAACCAGUGCCAUCUGUCAUAGCCUUGGAGGAAUCCUUAGGGGGUUCCCCAAUCUGUUUUGGAUUUUACCCAGCUGAUGUUAUCUCAUGCAAGCACAUAUGGUGAUGACAGGUAUAAAGUCUAUGUCUAAUCCUGUGUUCAGACCCAGUGCCUUUUGAGCAUCAAGGGCAUCAGGUCUACAUACUCAGUGCGCGUUGAUAGGUCCUGUCGCGCAUCUUGCACUGCGUGUUUUGAAGCUUUCCGUGUGUUUCAUGCUGCCUAUUUGGACUGACGUGCUUUAAGAGCCUCUAAUGCAGCAGACGAGUUGAAAAAUCAGAAAUUUUGCAGCUGGACACGUCAAACCAAAUCAGAGAAACUCCGCUUUGCGAUGUAGUUGGGAAUUUUCUGACAGGAAAAAUAUUGUUUCUUCUUAUCACUAAAAAAAUGACAUCGAGAUGCCCACUUUACUGAGACAAAUGGAUACUCUUCAUCGGUAAUGGGGCACUUGUAUUUAGCCAGAACAGGCUGGAAAUGCCGGCACCAAUGCUGGUCAGCAGGUUGUCAAAUUAGGGUUGGAUGAAACAUAAAUGGCACUGAAAGUGACCCUUGUCAGUGCGCAGCUCCUGUUGAAUCCAGAGACGGCUUGGAGGUGUUCAAUGAUGACAUUCUCUUGAAUUAUUCUGUAAACAAAACCAAGCCACUCCGGAUUUAAUCUGCAAGAACAAGAACAUGGUAGCUCCUUUCAACAAGAGUCACUAUGCCAAUGGCCUUCAGAGUUGAGGCCCUUGACAGGACAUCGAACUUGUGCUACUAUGUGCUACUACAAGCACAUUAUGUGAUCAUUUCGUUUCCCAUUCUUCCAGACAAUGUUUUGAUAUUAAUUAUCUUUUGGACUGUUCUAAGAUUGAACUGUGCUCGACCAAGGGAAGCAGACAUUUCCCCAACAGGAAAAGAAUUGCUGGGACCCUCAGUUCCACAAUUGUCAUCAGUGUCAACAUGGACCAGUGAAACCAACCCACAAAAAGAAUGUCAGUUGUUCAGAGAAGAACUACUGAACUGCAACUCUGACAGUCCACGCCUCUGUCUUUCACUUGACAUGUUUGAAGAUGAAGAAGAACAAGACAGCGCAUUCAUCUCAUUUUAUAAGCAAAGUAAUGUGAACUGGGCAGCUCCGUUCAAGUGCAGACUGAGAGGAGAUGCAGCAGUUGGUGAUGGUGUCAACAGACAUGUUUUGUCAAUGGCCAUGGGAAAACUGAAAACAGGCUUCAAAAUCAAUUUAGAGUCUGCUGCAACAACAACCAUUUUUGAGGGCGAAAAAGAACACCUGGUUCCCUCUGCAGCUGCUGUUCUGCGGGAGAGCAACCUGUUUGAGAUGGCAGGUCGUAUGAUCAGUCAUUCUUUCCUACACAGUGGGUUCAGCUUCUCUGGACUCAGUUUGCCUGUUGUGACCCUAUUGACUGGUGGGAGCAUUGACACUGCAGCAUCAGCUCUCACCCUGGAGGACUGUCCUGAUAUUGAGUCGCGUCAAACAAUUGGUUUGCUGAAAAAGGAUGAACUUACUGCAGAAGAAAAAUCAAAAGUGAUGGAUCUUUGCCUCUUCUGAGAUCUUCCAUAUCCUACCUCUACCAACCAUGUCUGGCUCUUCCAGGAACUGCUCUCACAUGCAGUACUUCGCCGUGUUAAACAGCAAAUUAAACAAAUACGGAAGGGUCUAAAAGAAACGGGGAUUUGGCAGCUCAUUACAGACAGGCCAGAUGUUCACCCCUUCAUUUUCCCUAGGGAGUCAGAUGAGAAGCUUCACGCACAGACCGUGAUCCAAAGUAUUACCUGGCCACAACCCAACUUUGACAGUGAUGAAGAUGAGAGUGUUCCAUUGGAAAAAAUAGGUCUUGUCACUGGAUUUUUGAGAAAAUUCAUAGAGGAAGCAUCACCAGACGUGCUGCGUGACCUGAUGAAGUUUUGGGUCGAGUGGGAACUGCCAACAAAAAACCUCAACGUUGAGGUUGUAACCUCAUCAUAUCCAGCUGCUUCUUCAAGUUGAAGCUCCCCAGCCACUAUGAGACCUACAGGAUGUUUCACCAAGACUUAAUGAUGGCACUCAGCUCCAUAAGCUCUGGUUUUGGACUGGUUUAGGGGCGAAUGUUUUGUACUUAACCCUUCUUUAGAAAUGGUGUCAGUUAAAAGAGCAUUCACUGUUAAUUUAUGGUCCAAUUAGUUUCCAGGGUUUGAUUAUUCUACUUUUGAUUAAGCCACAGUCAUCUGUUGAGAUAAAAAAAUAUAUAUAGUUGAUUUGGUGACAUUGUGAUAUGUUCCACGAGUUACAUACUCUUUUUGAGAUACUGUUGCUUUUGUAAUUUUAUAUUGUGAUAUGCACCUACACAGUGUAGUGAGCGUGGAUCAUAUAAAGAUCAUCUCUGUUUUUAGUUUUCCUACUUGAAGUAAGUGCAAGGAAAGAUUUGUGGGCUUCUUUAUUUUUUUUAUUUCAUUAAGUUCAGAUGUCCCUAGAGAUGGUUUGUACUAGCAGUAUAAAUUGUUGAAUAACCCUAAGAUCAGGUGUUUAGGUAGAAAAGUUUCUCUAACAUUGGUAAUUUGUUUCAUAGUCAGUUAUACAUGACAGUUUGUGCACCCAACUGUUGGUUUGGUAAAGCUAUUGUGUCAAAUACCACUGUUCCCUUUUAGCAUUUAAUAAAAAAAUGCUGUACCACUACAUUUGAAAUUAUUAAAAGUGAACCAUUUAUAUUCCUUUGAACAGCAUUAAAAU